rnacentral:rRNA from 1 species
AACGAACGCUGGCGGCAGGCCUAACACAUGCAAGUCGAGCGCCCCGCAAGGGGAGCGGCGGACGGGUGAGCAACGCGUGGGAACGUACCCUUUGCUACGGAAUAGCCUCGGGAAAUUGGGAGUAAUACCGUAUGUGCCCUUCGGGGGAAAGAUUUAUCGGCAAAGGAUCGGCCCGCGUUGGAUUAGGUAGUUGGUGGGGUAAUGGCCUACCAAGCCGACGAUCCAUAGCUGGUUUGAGAGGAUGAUCAGCCACACUGGGACUGAGACACGGCCCAGACUCCUACGGGAGGCAGCAGUGGGGAAUCUUAGACAAUGGGCGCAAGCCUGAUCUAGCCAUGCCGCGUGAGCGAUGAAGGCCUUAGGGUUGUAAAGCUCUUUCGCCCGUGACGAUGAUGACGGUAACGGGAGAAGAAGCCCCGGCUAAUUCCGUGCCAGCCGCCGCCGUAACAC